rnacentral:rRNA from 1 species
UACGUAGGGGGCAAGCGUUGUCCGGAUUUAUUGGGCGUAAAGAGCGUGUAGGCGGCUAGAUAGGUCCGUUGUGAAAACUCGAGGCUCAACCUCGAGAUGUCAUCGGAAACCAUUUGGCUAGAGUCCGGAAGAGGAGAGUGGAAUUCCUGGUGUAGCGGUGAAAUGCGCAGAUAUCAGGAAGAACACCAAUGGCGAAAGCAGCUCUCUGGGACGGUACUGACGCUGAGACGCGAAAGCGUGGGGAGCGAACAGG